AUUGAACGCUGGCGGCAGGCCUAACACAUGCAAGUCGAGCGAGCGGCGGACGGGUGAGUAAUGUAUGGGGACUGCCCGAUAGAGGGGGAUAACUACUGGAAACGGUGGCUAAUACCGCAUACUCUCGGAUAACCCAUAUGGGAUUAGCCAGUAGGGGGGGUAAAGGGUCACCUAGGCGACGAUCUCUAGCUGGUCUGAGAGGAUGAGAAGCCGCGCUGGGACUGAGACACGGACCAGACUCCUACGGAGGCAGAAGUGGGGAAUAUUGCACAAUGGGCGCAAGCCUGAUGCAGACAUGCCGCGUGUAUGAAGAAGGCCUUAGGGUUGGAAAGUAGUUUCAGCGGGGAAGCGUUACCCGCAGAAGAAGAACAGGCUAACUCCGUGCCAGCAGCCGCGGUAAUUC
rnacentral:rRNA from 1 species